UACAGAGGGUGCGAGCGUUAAUCGGAACUACUGGGCGUAAAGCGCACGUAGUCGGCUUUGCAAGUCGGGUGUGAAAUCCCCGGGCUCAACCUGGGAACUGCAUCCGAGACUGCAUUGCUAGAGUAUGGGAGAGGGAAGCGGAAUUUCUGGUGUAGCAGUGAAAUGCGUAGAUAUCAGAAGGAACAUCAGUGGCGAAGGCGGCUUCCUGGACCAAUACUGACGAUCAGGUGCGAAAGCGUGGGGAGCAAACAGG
rnacentral:rRNA from 1 species